UUCACAUUUUCGUUUGUGAACACGGCAUUGAGUUUUAAUGUGUGUUUGUGCGUGAUGUUUCCUCGAUAUUUUAGUUUGUUGGGGUUUAUAUAUUUUCCUCUGUGGGUGCAGGUUAUGUUGGUUAUGGACAUGGAAGUAUCUGCAUUUGUCCAACCUGUACAACGCAAGAGGAGGAGAUUCCAAAAAUGUGUAGGCGGCUCGUGAAGACGAUCCAGAUGACUGUGCGAAGGCUCGCUUCCCUGAGGAGACUUCUGCCAGAGUCCUGGAUAUUCUCCUGUGUCACUGCUCUUGUGGUCAGAGCGAUCUUCUCUGCUGUAUGCUCCCAGUACAUGGAGAGACUUCGUGAGAUGUUCUUGACGUUAUUUUACUCAUUUGGUUAAUAUUUCCAUCUGAUUAUUGCUUCCAGUGUUUGGUUGAUUUAUUGUUUUUCGGUGUAGGUUUUGGUGAUUAUGAUAUUAAAUGGUGAAUACAGAGGUGUCUUCAUCAAAGGUUCCUUAUGCAGACUGUCCUGCGCAAGAAGAGGACGGGUUCCAAAAUGUGUGAGUGGUGCCAGAAGGCGUAGUCAACGUGUGAAGUGUCGUGGGCAAGAACGAAGAAUCGUGUGACAUUUGUGUUGAUUAUGUUCGAUGCUGAUAUAUAUAUAUUAUUUUGUUGGUUAAAUCUUCAGUCAGUUUAGUUGAAUAUUCUGUAAUGUAAUAUUCGCAAGGUAGUUUCAUAUAUUUAUUCCAUCAUGUUUAUUUGAUUAUUAGUUGUUUGAUGUGAUAAUAAUAUAUAUAUAUGUCGGAGAUGAAAGAACACCGGAGCCUUCCUUGGGAACUUGGGGAGAAUCCCGUAAUAUUGUAAUCCGGAUUUCACCAUGGCCAUAAUUAAAUAAUUGUCAUUCAAUCCGAUCGUGUUUAUUUGAGAUUUGUAACAGUGAGCUUGGGCCCGAGGCGACAAUCAGUCGCCAACGUAGCCGCGGUCAAGGGAUAAACGUUUACCUAAACAAAGGCAUAGAGUAACCGUAUAGCUCUCCUUGAAAAAAUACAGCAGCGGCGCGCGGCAGUAAACAC